UACGGAGGGAGCUAGCGUUGUUCGGAAUUACUGGGCGUAAAGCGUGCGCAGGCGGUUCGUCGUGUCCGAUGUGAAAGCCCCGGGCUCAACCUGGGAAUGGCAUUGGAAACUGGCGGACUCGAGUGUGGCAGAGGGGGGUGGAAUUCCGCGUGUAGCAGUGAAAUGCGUAGAGAUGCGGAGGAACACCGAUGGCGAAGGCAGCCCCCUGGGCUAACACUGACGCUCAGGCACGAAAGCUGGGGGAGCAAACAGG
rnacentral:rRNA from 1 species